GCACAAGCGGUGGAGCAUGUGGCUUAAUUCGAUGCAACGCGAAGAACCUUACCAGGGCUUGACAUGUAUCUGCAAGCUACCGAAAAGUAGUCGCCUUCGAGGGUGAUACACAGGUGGUGCAUGGCUGUCGUCAGCUCGUGUUGUGAAAUGUUGGGUUAAGUCCCGCAACGAGCGCAACCCUCAUGUUCUGUUACCAGCGAGUAAUGUCGGGGACUCGGAACAAACUGCCUCUGUAAAGAGGAGGAAGGUGGGGAUGACGUCAAGUCAUCAUGCCCCUUACGCCCUGGGCUGCACACAUGCUACAAUGGCCGGUACAAAGGGUUGCGAAAGCGCAAGCUGGAGCCAAUCUCAAAAAGCCGGUCUCAGUUCGGAUUGGAGUCUGCAACUCGACUCCAUGAAGUCGGAAUCGCUAGUAACCGCAGGUCAGCAAUACUGCGGUGAAUACGUUCCCGGGC
rnacentral:rRNA from 1 species